GACGAACGCUGGCGGCGUGCUUAACACAUGCAAGUCGAACGGUGAAGCGCUUUCCUUUUUGGUUGGUGUGGAUGAGUGGCGAACGGGUGAGUAACACGUGAGUAACCUGCCCCCUUCUUCUGGAUAACCGCAUGAAAGUGUGGCUAAUACGGGAUAUUCUGCGCCUGCUGCAUGGUGGGUGUGGGAAAGAUUGUGCCUUUGGGUGUGUUCGGUGGGGGAUGGGCUCGCGGCCUAUCAGCUUGUUGGUGGGGUGAUGGCCUACCAAGGCGGUGACGGGUAGCCGGCCUGAGAGGCUGGACGGUCACACUGGGACUGAGACACGGCCCAGACUCCUACGGGAGGCAGCAGUGGGGAAUAUUGCACAAUGGGCGCAAGCCUGAUGCAGCGACGCCGCGUGAGGGAUGGAGGCCUUCGGGUUGUGAACCUCUUUCGCCAGUGAAGCAGGCCUGCUCCUUGUGGGUGGGUUGACGGUAGCUGGAUAAGAAGCGCCGGCUAACUACGUG
rnacentral:rRNA from 1 species